rnacentral:rRNA from 1 species
GGGAUGCGUUCCAUUAGGCAGUUGGUGAGGUAACGGCUCACCAAACCUUCGAUGGAUAGGGGUUCUGAGAGGAAGGUCCCCCACAUUGGAACUGAGACACGGUCCAAACUCCUACGGGAGGCAGCAGUGAGGAAUAUUGGUCAAUGGGCGCAGGCCUGAACCAGCCAAGUAGCGUGAAGGAUGACUGCCCUAUGGGUUGUAAACUUCUUUUAUAUGGGAAUAAAGUUUUCCACGUGUGGAAUUUUGUAUGUACCAUAUGAAUAAGGAUCGGCUAACUCCGUGCCAGCAGCCGCGGUAAUACGGAGGAUCCGAGCGUUAUCCGGAUUUAUUGGGUUUAAAGGGAGCGUAGGUGGACAGUUAAGUCAGUUGUGAAAGUUUGCGGCUCAACCGUAAAAUUGCAGUUGAUACUGGCUGUCUUGAGUACAGUAGAGGUGGGCGGAAUUCGUGGUGUAGCGGUGAAAUGCUUAGAUAUCACGAAGAACUCCGAUUGCGAAGGCAGCUCACUGGACUGCAACUGACACUGAUGCUCGAAAGUGUGGGUAUCAAACAGGAUUAGAUACCCUGGUAGUCCACACAGUAAACGAUGAAUACUCGCUGUUUGCGAUAUACAGUAAGCGGCCAAGCGAAAGCAUUAAGUAUUCCACCUGGGGAGUACGCCGGCAACGGUGAAACUCAAAGGAAUUGACGGGGGCCCGCACAAGCGGAGGAACAUGUGGUUUAAUUCGAUGAUACGCGAGGAACCUUACCCGGGCUUAAAUUGCAUUUGAAUAUAUUGGAAACAGUAUAGCCGUAAGGCAAAUGUGAAGGUGCUGCAUGGUUGUCGUCAGCUCGUGCCGUGAGGUGUCGGCUUAAGUGCCAUAACGAGCGCAACCCUUAUCUUUAGUUACUAACAGGUCAUGCUGAGGACUCUAGAGAGACUGCCGUCGUAAGAUGUGAGGAAGGUGGGGAUGACGUCAAAUCAGCACGGCCCUUACGUCCGGGGCUACACACGUGUUACAAUGGGGGGUACAGAAGGCAGCUACCUGGUGACAGGAUGCUAAUCCCAAAAGCCUCUCUCAGUUCGGAUCGAAGUCUGCAACCCGACUUCGUGAAGC